UAGCUCAGCUGGGAGAGCACCUCCCUUACAAGGAGGGGGUCGGCGGUUCGAUCCNUGGGUCG
rnacentral:tRNA from 1 species